GAGUGGCGGACGGGUGAGUAACACGUAGGUAACCUGCCCAGAAGCGGGGGACAACAUUUGGAAACAGAUGCUAAUACCGCAUAACAGCGUUGUUCGCAUGAACAACGCUUAAAAGAUGGCUUCUCGCUAUCACUUCUGGAUGGACCUGCGGUGCAUUAGCUUGUUGGUGGGGUAACGGCCUACCAAGGCGAUGAUGCAUAGCCGAGUUGAGAGACUGAUCGGCCACAAUGGGACUGAGACACGGCCCAUACUCCUACGGGAGGCAGCAGUAGGGAAUCUUCCACAAUGGGCGCAAGCCUGAUGGAGCAACACCGCGUGAGUGAAGAAGGGUUUCGGCUCGUAAAGCUCUGUUGUUAAAGAAGAACACGUAUGAGAGUAACUGUUCAUACGUUGACGGUAUUUAACCAGAAAGUCACGGCUAACUACGUGCCAGCAGCCGCGGUAAUACGUAGGUGGCAAGCGUUAUCCGGAUUUAUUGGGCGUAAAGAGAGUGCAGGCGGUUUUCUAAGUCUGAUGUGAAAGCCUUCGGCUUAACCGGAGAAGUGCAUCGGAAACUGGAUAACUUGAGUGCAGAAGAGGGUAGUGGAACUCCAUGUGUAGCGGUGGAAUGCGUAGAUAUAUGGAAGAACACCAGUGGCGAAGGCGGCUACCUGGUCUGCAACUGACGCUGAGACUCGAAAGCAUGGGUAGCGAACAGGAUUAGAUACCCUGGUAGUCCAUGCCGUAAACGAUGAGUGCUAGGUGUUGGAGGGUUUCCGCCCUUCAGUGCCGGAGCUAACGCAUUAAGCACUCCGCCUGGGGAGUACGACCGCAAGGUUGAAACUCAAAGGAAUUGACGGGGGCCCGCACAAGCGGUGGAGCAUGUGGUUUAAUUCGAAGCUACGCGAAGAACCUUACCAGGUCUUGACAUCUUGCGCCAACCCUAGAGAUAGGGCGUUUCCUUCGGGAACGCAAUGACAGGUGGUGCAUGGUCGUCGUCAGCUCGUGUCGUGAGAUGUUGGGUUAAGUCCCGCAACGAGCGCAACCCUUGUUACUAGUUGCCAGCAUUAAGUUGGGCACUCUAGUGAGACUGCCGGUGACAAACCGGAGGAAGGUGGGGACGACGUCAGAUCAUCAUGCCCCUUAUGACCUGGGCUACACACGUGCUACAAUGGACGGUACAACGAGUCGCGAACUCGCGAGGGCAAGCAAAUCUCUUAAAACCGUUCUCAGUUCGGACUGCAGGCUGCAACUCGCCUGCACGAAGUCGGAAUCGCUAGUAAUCGCGGAUCAGCAUGCCGCGGUGAAUACGUUCCCGGGCCUUGUACACACCGCCCGUCACACCAUGAGAGUUU
rnacentral:rRNA from 2 species